rnacentral:rRNA from 1 species
UACGGAGGGUGCAAGCGUUGUCCGGAAUCACUGGGCGUAAAGGGCGCGUAGGCGGCGCGGAUAGUCGGCGGUGAAAGCCCGGAGCUCGACUCCGGGUCGGCCGUCGAUACUUCCGGGCUUGAGCACUGUAGAGGCAGAUGGAAUUCCGGGUGUAGCGGUGGAAUGCGUAGAGAUCCGGAAGAACACCGGUGGCGAAGGCGGUCUGCUGGGCAGUUGCUGACGCUGAUGCGCGACAGCGUGGGGAGCAAACGAGG